ACUUUGUUCUUGGGAUGAUCUCCGUGAGCCAAACUCUCCUCGUUCUCCUCUUCCUCCUCUGGUACCUGCAGAGAAAUUAGCUGUCAGUCACUGCCCCCACCUGCACAGUGGCCAUUACAGUAAAUAGUAUAGUUGUUCCUGGCCCAUGACAGCAGCCUGCAGGUGUUAAAGAUCUCCUCGCUGAAGGCAGACCCAGCUUGGGCAGACCAGGUUUGCACCCCACCGCUCAUCCUGGGCCCUGAAUGUAGAACCCCUGCAGACUCACCUCCCAGUAAAUCGAGUCGUCAAAGCAGUUCUGGUCUGGAGGCUGUCCCCACACGGGCAGCUUCAUGAUCAGACCUUUAAAAACAAAACCGGUCAAAGUCUGCACUCCCGCAUUUUACAAAAACGCUCCUGCAUUUUACAACAUCGCUCCUGCAUUUUACAACAUCGCUCUGAUGCAGAUUCAGCUGUGGAAAAAUCAGUGAUAAAAUGCUUGAAAAGCUAAUGGUUUAAAAGCCCUCCUACCAUUUCAGAUGGUAGGUACCAAACUGGUUAACAGUUCAUAGUGUUGUGGUCACCAGCCCUGUUUCUGAAGAUAUACCAUCCUUUCGGUAUUCAAUUCAUCCCUAAUUUGACACAUCUGACUCUACAAAUUAGCUGCUCAACAAGAUCUCUAGCUGUUGAAGGUGGUGAGUUUGAGUGGGUUGGAGUGAAAACCAGCAGGACAGUAGAUCUCCAGGAACAGAGUCGGUUGCUGUUGGUACAAUAUAUCCUGUGCAAGCUACAAAGGAAUUCAGAACUCUAUGGUAUCUGUAGAAAUCAUGCAUGUUUUUUGUAAUGCAAUAAUUGGAAUAAAAUGUAGGUCAGAUGAACAUACCUGUGAUGGCCCCCCCGACAAGUGCGAACCCCAGGGAGGAGGCCAGGGCUGCGGCCUGCAUGGAGGCCAGGCCACUAGGGGGCGACAGAA